GUCCAGACUCCUACGGGAGGCAGCAGUGGGGAAUAUUGCACAAUGGGGGGAACCCUGAUGCAGCGACGCCGCGUGAGUGAAGAAGUAUUUCGGUAUGUAAAGCUCUAUCAGCAGGGAAGAAGAUGACGGUACCUGACUAAGAAGCCCCGGCUAACUACGUGCCAGCAGCCGCGGUAAUACGUAGGGGGCAAGCGUUAUCCGGAUUUACUGGGUGUAAAGGGAGCGUAGACGGCGAUGCAAGCCAGAUGUGAAAGCCCGGGGCUCAACCCCGGGACUGCAUUUGGAACUGUGUGGCUGGAGUGUCGGAGAGGCAGGCGGAAUUCCUGGUGUAGCGGUGAAAUGCGUAGAUAUCAGGAGGAACACCGGCGGCGAAGGCGGCCUGCUGGACCGCGACUGACGUUGAGGCUCGAAAGCGUGGGGAGCGAACAGGAUUAGAUACCCUAGUA
rnacentral:rRNA from 1 species